UUUCUGUGCCCCGGCUGGCAGUGAACUGGUCCCCUUAGCAGCUGACCUCCUCCUCCAGCCCUGUGGCUGCCUCCUCUCCAACAGGGACCCUCCUGGUGAAAGAAAAAGAGACUUGGUAAUUCACUGAGCAUCACCCAAGACCGGGCGCAGACCUACACCCUGGCGUAUAAAAGACGUAGUACUCACGUCAUUCCUGUUUCACAGAUGCACAGACUUACUCUUGGAGAGGCUCCUCCCAAAAGUCACCCAGCUGAUUUUCAUCCACUUGGCUCCCCAAGUUGCUGCUCGACCGCUCUCUGACCUGGAUUCACUGAGGACACAUCAGGCCUUUGCCACGGGCUCCAUGGAGUGGCCGGAGCCCAGGGCUGGGUGAGUGUGGGGUGGGUCUGAAGGGGAGGACGUGCAUCUAGAGGCCAGGCCAGCCCCUGCAGGAUUUUCUGAUGUCAAAUCGCCUGUCCUGUGCCCGAGCCCUAUCGCCUUAGCAGAAUGAGGACACGUGCCUCCCCUGGGCCUCCCCACCGUGGCCUGAGUGAGUGUCUCUCCGGCUGCAGUGUUUGCAGUCAGCAGGUCAAGAGGGGACCCUCCUGCCCUGCUCCCAUGGGGCUGCUGCUCCUUCUAGCAGUCCCAGCUUAACACCCACACUUCUUAUACUGGUCCCAGGGCCCUCUAUGGGUUAGGGUGUAGAAGGAGGUUGUGUUGGUUAAAAACACCAGGUGGAAAUCUCUUUUCUCUGAAUGCUGAUGGAGUGCUGUUAGGGAGACAGUUCUUUUCAGUCUAGUUGGAUCCUGGGUGAAGACUCAGGCCUCGCUCAAGAAGGGAGACCACCCAUAUGUGCUGUCACGUGUUUCCAGGGAGGAGGCUGGAAGUCCAAGAUCAAGGUCCUAGUAGGUUUGGCCUCUGGUGAGGGCUCUCUUCAUGGCCAGGAGCUUCUCCCACUCCUGGGCACAGAUGGGCCCUGUUAGACUGUUGCCUUGCUCCCAAUCAAUCAUGCCCCCUCCCACUGCCUCUGGGGUUGUGUCUGUGAUGUCCUCUUCCUGGGGACAAAUGCAGCUUCAGCUGCUAUAGGCUGGGACUGUGGCCCUCCCUGCACCAGUCCCAGGGCCCAGCUUCCCCAGGCCACUAGCGUUGCUCCAGGAACAGUGUCCAAGUCAGUCCCGACUGCUAAUAGAAUCCCACGGACUGAGUGGCUUCAGGAACAGGAAUUUAUUUCUCACAGUUCUGGAAGUCCAAGAUCAGGGUGCUGGCAGAUUUGGCUCCUGGUAAGGGCUCUCUUCAGGCUUGCAGACAGCUGCCUUCUUGCUGUAAC
rnacentral:lncRNA from 1 species